GAUGAACGCUGGCGGCGUGCCUAACACAUGCAAGUCGAACGGAAAGGCCCUGCUUUUGUGGGGUGCUCGAGUGGCGAACGGGUGAGUAACACGUGAGUAACCUGCCCUUGACUUUGGGAUAACUUCAGGAAACUCGGGCUAAUACCGGAUAGGAGCUCCUGCUGCAUGGUGGGGGUUGGAAAGUUUGGGCGGUAGGGGCUGGAUUGGCGGCUUAUCAGCUUGUUGGUUGGGUAGUGGCUUACCAAGGCUUUGACGGGUAGCCGACAUGAGAGCGUGACCGGGCACCAUGGGACUGAGGUAGGGAGCAGACUGCUACGGGAGGCAACGGUCGGAAGUAUUACAGAGUGAGGGGGCGCGUGAGACGACGGCGUCGGGUGCGGAAUGCCCGGCUUCGGGUUGUGAACAGCUGUCGCCUGUGAUGAAGCGGGAGUGACGGUAAUGGGUCAAGAAGCCCCGGCUAACUACGUG
rnacentral:rRNA from 1 species